GUUGAACGCUGGCGGCAGGCCUAACACAUGCAAGUCGAACGGGUGGCGGACGGGUGAGUAAUGUCUGAGAAACUGCCUGAUGGAGGGGGAUAACUACUGGAAACGUUAGCUAAUACCGCUUACCAUCCGAUGGGGCCAGAUUGGAUUAGCUUUUUGGUGGGGUAACGGCUCACCAAGGCGACGAUCCCUAGCUGGUCUGAGAGGAUGAUCAGCCACACUGGAACUGAGACACGGCCCAGACUCCUACGGGAGGCAGCAGUGGGGAAUAUUGCACAAUGGGCGCAAGCCUGAUGGAGCCAUGCCGCGUGUAUGAAGAAGGCUUUCGGGUUGUAAAGGACUGUCAGUGGGGAGGCGGUACCCACAGAAGAAGCACCGGCUAACUCCGUGCCAGCAGCCGCGGUAAUUC
rnacentral:rRNA from 1 species